rnacentral:pre_miRNA from 11 species
AUACCUAUAUACUUGAGAUCUGUCACUGCAGACAGUCAGUAGUUGGUCUGGCAUAAGCAGAAAGUUUCAGAUCACCUCUUGGCUGUGAGUAGUGUGGAGCCCUGCCCUAUUUUACUAUG